rnacentral:tRNA from 1 species
GGGGAGAUGGCUCAGUGGUUAAGAGCACUGACUGCUCUUCCAGAGGUCCUGAGUUCAAUUCCCAGGAACCACA